UUAUUACUCUCUCUGUCCAACAAAAAAUGUCUCAAGUUUGUCAAAAUUUGGACGUAUCUAAAUGUAAGAUGUGACUUAGUGUAUAAAUGCAUUCAAAUUUAGUCAAAGUUGAUACAUUUUUGUUGGACGGAGGGGGUAUCUC
rnacentral:pre_miRNA from 1 species